AAGUGUUAAGUCUUUAAUUUUGAAUCCUUAGCUUACUUUUUAAGUUAAGGCUAAAUUUAAACAAAAAUUAAAGAUUAAGUUAGUAUUGGGUGAGACUUUGUUUAUAUAUCGAUAAUGACGAUAUAUAUAUUAUGGCUUGACCAAUUACGUGCCAACAAUCGCGGUAAUACGUAAAACACUAAUGUUAUUCAUCUUAAUUAGGUUUAAAAGGUACUCAAACCGUCUGCUUCGCAUAACACCACUAGACUUAUAUAGCCCACGGUAAUACCUUAACUCUAAAGAUUAUAUUUCCUCAUACUCCACGGACUUACAAAACCCCUAAACAACCUUCUAAACAAUAACUCACCUUCAAAGACCAAAGCAUAAGUCACCAACAAGAUUACAUACCCAAAUACUCUUUGCAAUCAAUCAUGAAUGCCAUAACUUAAAUAAAAAUUUACUCUAUAAAUCACAAUCUAAACAUUUCACCUCAAAAAUAAUGUCGCAACCCAAAAACUCAAAU
rnacentral:rRNA from 1 species